CAACCCCACCACCACAAAAACCGCCCCAAAAACCACUGCAGCCUCUCCCAAGGUUAAACCCAGAAACUCCAUGCAGUUGUGCUUGGCCAGCGUCGUAAUCGUUUUAAACUUUUUACUGUAAGCACAAAAGAGCGUUUUAAAUGUAACGAAACGUAACCUCAGAGGGUUUUAAAUGAGGAAAAAGAUUAAGAGUGACUUUAUAUCUGAUAAAAAACACAUCUUCAUUAGUAUUCUUUAUAUAAUUG